ACAGACAUUCCUCUCAGCGUUUAUCACUCACAUACAUUUGUUUUGGCAGAUACUGGGUCUUGGGUAAGAACAACAAGCAACGGUUGGAGGGAAAGCUACCUUAGAGAAAAAAAUGCAGUUAUUGUCAGGGGAAGAAAGUGUGACUGAAUUAACUCCUAUCUCCAAGGAAAACAAAUACUAGCAAAAUGGACUCAAGAGAUCUG
rnacentral:lncRNA from 1 species